UGUGAGGGCACUCUUGAGCAAAGCUAAGGGGUGCAGGACACAGAAAGCCCAGGGUUAUCCUGGAAUCAAAGCUUCAUUUCUUCAGGAGCUUGUCAGUACUGAAAUGUCAGAGGUGGGAGGAUGGGACGGAGCUGGGGACAAGAUGAGGGCAAGUAAAGAUAUAAAGUUUCCAGAGCAGAAAGAAAAUACAGGGAUAACCAGCUUCUAGUAGGCUCUAAAGUGUAAUUGGUACAAACUGGUAUCAAGGUAAUUUUUACCUUGUUUAACAUGAUAAUCAAUGAGAUAGAUACAAAAAAGGCUUUAAUCUGGAAAUGUAGGAAAAAUCACUUUUGAAAGGUUUAAGAUGGUUCAUUUCUGUGGUUGAAAACCAAGAGCCUGAAAAUAUUAAAGCACGACUUCUGCUUUCCCUACACAGAGUGAAUCCAUUAAUUAACAGCAUGUUUCAGGGAACAAAAUGCCUAUUUUAAGAUCACGAGAAGGAAAAAUCCUACAGUGUUCUAAAGUCCCCACAGCAGCACAGGAGUGUAAUGACCUUUUCAUCUGUGAAGUGAAAAUAAACCCAGACUACCUGCAGUCUCUCUUAGUCCCCUUGCUCUAUGAGCAGUAUCCAUGUCUGCAGCAUGGUCAUUCUGUGCUUAACUGCAAGGAGGAAGAAAACUGUUGCUAAGUGAGCACUUGGAGAAGCAGGGAAUUAGGGCAGCAUCCUUUGGAGCAGUCUCCUGGUAAUGUGUAGCACUGUUUGCAGCUUGAACACUCCAACACAUGUUCUUGGAAGUACACAAAAGCAGUUCCCACAUAAAGUUUUAGGAGUGUUGCCACUGCUUGUAGAGGGAGGCUGCCAAAGAUGGGAGUUUUGAUCAAUAUUUGCACCAAAUUAGCUCCCUUCUGAUGAUUUGUCGGUUGACUAUUAGAUAGCAGCUUGCACCUUUAUGCUUUAGUAACUAUUUCGUAGGUUCAGUUAAAUCACGUUUCAAUCUCCAAAGGCAUCAGCACUCAUCACCUCAGUCCCUUUCCAUGCAUCACUUUUUAACUGGCUUUUUGGCAAAUUUAGUUAGAGAGAUCCUUGGAUGCAGAAAUGUUAAAUGAAAUCUCUGCUUGGAACUAGAGACCUUUCCAAAUGCUGCUCAGCACAGUGAGAGAUACAUUUUGUCCUCCUGUACUUCAGCUCCGCAAGGGUAAGGUUGGCUGACUGCGUGCGACCUGAGCUAGAAAACACCAAGCAGCCCCAAUACCCUUUCAACACAGCCAGAGGGGAGUGAUGUGCUCUCUCAGAUUGGACUCUCACUGCACUGAAGUCAUACUUGAAACCCAAAGCUGUAUUUGCCUUAAGGCAAAUUCGAGUUUACUCAUACUUUCAAGGUCAGCACUAUUAGGCCAGACUAAAAUCUAACUUUUAUUGUUGGUUGUUAUAGGAAAAACAGCAUCAGACAGGCUUUGAGCUUAGCACUUUGUGCAGUUCAUCAUAAUAAAAUGUAUCUUAGUAAAGAUAAGGGGCUGCAAUUAUUUCCUCCCGUCUUCCAAGUUAAGAGAGUACAAACCCACCUGCUAAGGCAGGUAUUCAAAUGCUAAGGAAUUCCUUAGGUUGUUCAGGAUGGCUGCCCUCACCUGAUCUCUCUCUGCACAUACACUGCCUUUAACAACAUUAGUAUUUGUCCUCACUGCCUCACUUAGCAGGAUAAACUCUUGUGAGUUCCUAUUCAGGGUCUGUAUAUGUGUGUGUGUGUUGCAAGGGGUAUUUGUUUCUCAUGUUCAUUUUUGCCACAGACUGUUCUGUGCUGUCAUGUCCACUUCACUGCUGCAGGGGUAGAUGAAUGUACUUAUGUAUAAAAUAUUGUAUGUGCUUACAGAACUUGGUAACCCACUUUCAAUUUGGACAGGUUAAAAAGAGCUACAGGGAUAUAUUGGGAUGCUGGUUGUGAGCUACAAGGCUAAAUUGGAAAUGCACAUUCCCUCCUGUGAAUCUUCUGGAGGCAGCAGGAUGAUGAAAAGUCCCUGUUAUUCGAAGCAGAAGGCACAACCUGGAAGCUUCCUGUCUUGCAGCUGUUUUGCCUUCCCGGCAGCACUAUUGUUCAAUAUUUUACAGUCUUCUAUAAUGUUAAAGGUUGAACUCUGCCACUAGA